GCUUUAUAGUAAAUAAUUAUAAUUUAUUUAGUUGGAUUUAUGUUAUAAUUUAUUAGUUAUUUUGUUGGGGUGACAGGAAGAUAAAUAAAACUCUUUUUAGAUUUAGGCCAUUGAUAUAUGAAUUGUUGAUCCAUUAUUAAUGAUUAUAAGACUAAGU
rnacentral:rRNA from 1 species